rnacentral:rRNA from 1 species
CAGUCGCCGCGGGAAUACGGAGGGUGCAAGCGUUAAUCGGAAUUACUGGGCGUAAAGCGCACGCAGGCGGUCUGACAAGUCAGAUGUGAAAUCCCCGGGCUUAACCUGGGAACUGCAUUUGAAACUGUCAGGCUGGAGUCUUGUAGAGGGGGGUGGAAUUCCAGGUGUAGCGGUGAAAUGCGUAGAGAUCUGGAGGAAUACCGGUGGCGAAGGCGGCCCCCUGGACAAAGACUGACGCUCAGGUGCGAAAGCGUGGGGAGCAAACAGGAUUAGAGACCCGUGUAGUCCCUGUCUCUUAUAC